AUUUUGUGCAUUUGCCAAGUUAGGAAUCUGUAAACUAGACCUUGGGAUGAAAAAAAAGAUGAUACAAACUUUUGCUUUGAGUAUGGACGAUCUGAACCUUUGUACAGACUCAGAGGAAUGUGGUUAUUAACAACAAAUACCCUCUCAAUUUUUCCUCUUCUCCAAAGUAACUGGUCCAUACAUGAGCUCAGUUUUUGUGGUAACCCUUAGGGUGAGUGCAAACAUCAGAGCUCUCAUGAAAAGCAUUCGAUAUACUUUAUGGUCAGAGAAGGGGAAGAGAAGUAAGCCUGGAGCGCCUGCAGACCUGCAAUACCUAGGAAAGUGUUCCCAGUUCCCUCUAGACCUGUAGGCAGACUGGGUUUCUCCAAGCUCUUCAAAACUUGUCUGUGAAGGAUUACUUCCCAGAAUAUGUCCUCAAGAAGCUGCCUGGCCAGGCUGGGAUGAAGGUGGCAGUGGAGCAGGAGUGAUCCCCUUUGGUGAGUCCUGAUUCAAUGUCAGUCUGAAAUGGAAAGUAUUGGGCUUUCAGACUAUGGUGGUGGAAGUUUAAUCUUCCAGGGCUAAAUCUACACAUCAGAGAGCAGAGCAUGCCUCUACAGGAUUUGUGCUGCUACCCUGCGAUGAGAGGCUGGGAAAGAGUUUGGAAAUAUCCAUCUAAUGCCUGGUAAAUGAGUGUCUACAUUGAACAAAGCAAACAUUGCCACACUUGCCAGUUUUGCCAGUGAGGCUUGUAGGAUGAGUGGGCACUGGAGUUUCAAGUAAUCCCUCUCUCAGAAGCAAUCUGUCUCGAGUCAAUGGUGAGCAGCAUUGGGAUGGGGUAAGCAAUCCGUGCUGCUGCUUCUGCUGCGCUGUCUGUGGAUAAAUGAAGGCAUUUAGUUAACCAGACGUGUAAUUCCAGCCUGUUUUAAUAAGUUUGAAUUACACACACUGAGCAUCUUGAUGCAGGUAUGGAAGAGUAGGUUUGUUUAUGCCAGUUUUUAAUGCCACUCGCGUUAUUUUGGAUACCAGUGAUGUUAGACUACAAGUCUAAUCUCUUCUCUGUUAGGGUCUCACUUUUUAUUUAGAUUUUAAAACGGUAUUCAAAUGAGGUUUUGACCGAAACUGAAUCACUAUGUACUUGAAAGCUAAGGAGCUUAUCAGGCAUCUGAUAAUGUUUUCAGGAUUUCCCCAGAUUAGACCGCGGAGUGUACAGACAGGAAGCUGAAGUAUUGAGCGCCUGACCAGAGCUUCCUCCUGUGCAAGAGUGGGGGUUUCUCCAACUCGAAUCUUUAGCUCUACAAGCACAGUCCGAGUCUUGAAGUCCAAGGGAUAAAAAGCACCCAAAUCUUUCAGCUGGGUCCUCCGAGCGUGGAGAAUGGAGUACUGCACUUAAGCCCUGCUUGCAAGGUCAGCAAAACAGUUCUCACCUCUCCCUGCUGCUGCUUACCUUCCUGGCUCCUUAUCAAGCAGGGAAUCAGAAAGGGACUUUCCAGAGCUAUAAACAUGUGAGCUGAAGAGAUGGAAUGAACCCUUAUGCAAAUGAGUCUUGAUUCCCUUCCCUUUAUAAAGAUAAAAAGUUUUUGAGAGAGCAACGGCUCCUCCAGAAUGUGGGUGUCCGGAGUUAUUGCCUCGGACUGGCUGGAUCUCUGUGCUAUCUGUCUGUCUGUCCGCCUUUCUUUCUGCUUGUCUGUCUUUCCAUUGUAGAGAACAAAGCGGAGUGAUGUAAAAUAGAAAAUGAGACAAGCAAACCUUUGGUGAUUGAAGAGGAGGAAGGAAAAUGAAAGAGAAAAAGCUGAAGAGUGGGAAAAAGAUAAAAUAAAAUGAAUUUUGGGGAUUCCACUGUGAGUAAGAGCUGAAAAAAAAGUAAGCUGAUUUAUUACAUGUUUAUCUUCUGCCUGCGAGUCAGUGCGCCUUGUAUAUGCGAGGGGUGAACUGCACAUUAAAGAUUGAAUCAAAAAGCCAAAUUCUUCCUCAAUUCCUCCAGCUUUAAACGAGCAUAAUUCUGACAGCUCCGAUGGAUUUACAUUUUGUAAACAGCAGCGGAAUCAAGAUCAAGUCCUUUAAGUCAUUUUGAGUCAUAUUUAUGCUGAAGUUAUGAGAAAUUUAGAAUGACUUUUAAAUAACGUUUGUCAGGGAAGCUGCACAUUUUCUAACGCUUCUCUUCACUGGGCAGGAAUUUUGCUAUGGUCAUUGCAGUGUUGUUAUGACUUUAUUCUGAAUCCAAUGGCAGUACAGAAAGAAGGGGUGAUGUUAUCGUUAUGUGCAUCCAUAUUUUCCUUGCAUUAUGACUUAUGUAUAUUCAUUUUUAUUUUAAAUGUGUAUUUUAACAACCGUUUAAACAGGGAGAUGGCAUGAGCUAGUUGAUGUAAGUAUUUUUUUUUCUCUCCAUCAAAUGCCACUGAUUUUGAAAAUGCAGUGUUUGACUGCAGCCGGAGGGUUUAGCUGGCUACACCUUGCUUUCUUUCACAUUAAUCCUUUACUCUUUUGCAGGUUUAUUUCUUCCUUUGCGUGCUCUGAGCUUAUCUGGGCAUCCAAAAGUUUGUUUUAUAGUAUGGAAGAAGAGGGACAGAGGAAGAACCGCAGGUUUUCUUGAUGAAAUUUCCAAGCUUUUGCAGGUGUGGAGACGGGCUUCUGGAGCCUGCAGAAUAAGGCAGCUCCCAUCCCUCUCUUUCUCCACCUAAUCAGACAGUUUCUCUUACUCUUCCUUUUUCUGAACAGUUUGUUCGCUAAAAAAUGCUGUUUCGAAUGAACUGAAAUUAUUGACAGAGCUGAAUGGAGUGGUGCAAAUAGUACUGGGUAAACCAUCAAAAAAAUAUUUUGACAUUUGUAGAAUUAAAUCCUAAUUCUUUCUUUGAAAGUGCUUUUUUUCAUUUUCAUGUUCUUCUUAUCGUUUUUAUGCAGCAAUAAUGACAGCAAAGAAGAAACGAAGUAUUUUGUUUUAGGCCAAGAAAUACGUUCUAGUGCAGCUCAAAUUAUUUGCUUAUUUAUUUAGUGUUCAGAAAAGAACAAAAGUCACUCCAGGUUCCACCAAAUGGCAUUUUCCUUUUCCUUUCUUUUUUUUUUUUUUUUUUUUGAUUAGUAGAGGAAAACAUGGCUAAUUGCCACAGCCAAAAGUCCAUACCAUUGUCAGGACCAGCUGUAUUUCAGCUAUGUUAAUCUGGCAGAAUACUGAGCAUUCAUUUUCUGUGGGAAAUGAUGAUUAAAAAAGGGAAUUAUUUUUGAUAAGAAAAACGUACCCUUUUCUGUGCUUUUAUUGGUCAGAUUAAAUAUAUAAUCCACCUUUUCCCAUAAUCAGGGAAAGAAAAAAAAAAAAGGAGGAGAAAAGUCAGUUUUCAUUAUUGAAAUAGAUUUUCUGGAAGAUUUUUGACCCAAUUCCCUAACAUGAAAGGCUGCAGCUACUCUCUCCUGCAGUGUUUCAGAUGCCUGUGCUCCAUCGCAGCUUCCAUUGGGGCUGAGCGCUUCCCUUGGGCAGCAGAGCCUGGAGCUCCUGGAGCCAUGGGAUGAGGCUGCGGUGGGGACUCUUUGGCAGGACAGAGGUUUCAAGUGUGUCAGUGACUGCCUGUGGUCUUUGUGGGGGGAUUCAGUAAGGAAAAGUAUGGAAAACAGAGAGCUGCAGAAAACUAUUUCAAAGCUUGGAUUCUGUAGUGCAUGCUGGAUAGCCAAGUCCUCACCGGCAACUUGAGCAAUGUCAUGUCAAAAGUCUGUGUAGAAAUCAAAGAACGUCUUUACUUUUCACUGUAAUCAUUUGUAGCAGUUAAUACAUUUGAUUAAAUGUUCGAGAGUUGGUCAUGUUGAAUCUGAAUGGCACCUAGAACUAUUUUCUUUAAAAUCAGCCCCGGUGAGCUCAAGGGGAGCCAGAUUUAACAUCGUGGUGAGCGUAUCCUGGUGGAAGGCAGGCUGGCUCCCCGCAGGCUGUCUGCAUCAGCGCUUCUCAGCCUUCUCUAAUGGGGCCUUCUUGGAAAAGCCGUGGCUGGACCAUUUCCCACGCACAACAAGGAGCCGUCUGCACCUGCAGGCGCUCACUGGCAGCAUCCAGAGAGCGGCUCCCGGCUCCGUCUGCCAGCACUGGUGCUUCUCUGCCAAAUGGAGCAGACAUGUGGUUUGUAUCUUCUAAAUGAGCUCGUGCACAGAGCAGGUUCUGGCGUCCGACAGCAAACAGUGGGCUGCAGCCCACGGGCUGUGUAACACCCAUCCAGCUCCCGGCGCUGUCACGCCUGCACCUGGUCAUGAGCCAGAGCUCUCGGGCUGUUGCAUUCGCUGCUGUGUGCCGGUCUCUGCAUAACUACGGCCAGUUUGCACUGCACUUGAGCUGUUUCAUUAUUCUAAUUUUAAUUGUAGUUGAUUUCAGUGAAUUAAUGUUGAAAUGGGCUAUAUAUGAACUGAAAGUGUGCUUGCUCUUCACAGCUUAUUUUCAGUAGCUGCAGUAUUGUUAGAGUAUAAAUACAGCCAUCUCUUAUGGAAUCGUAGGAUCACUGGAGUUUGAAGGGAUGUUUAAAGGUCUUUGAUUCCAAUUCCCCUUUCCAGAUUUCAACUCCAGCUUUUAUAUUUCAAGUAUUUAGAUACUGAACCUGUCUGAAGAAAAAAUAUCUCCGGCUUCUAAUGGAUUUCUAACAUUACAAUUGUUUAUUAUAAUAAAUAAUUGAAUAAUAAUAGCCUAAUAUAAAAAAGAAUGAAAUCCUUGCUGAGUGAUCAUGGCAUUCCUUUUUUAAAUAAUGCAAUAAUUACAAAAACAUUUUAGUUAAUUAAAACUUUAAGUUAAUGUUUGCCUGUUUUUCAACUACUUAUGCAGACCCUAAUCAUUUUGGGUUAGUGAUACAGAGCACAGCAGCUGCACAGGGACAAAGACUUGUAAGUACCUGUGCUGUUGCCACAGAUGGAACAAUGCCAGUUCUUUUGAGUUCUUAAAAAUGUGGAAAUUGAAAGGGAGCAAGGAAUGGCCAUCUACUCUCUCCUGUUUGCUUUACCCACCUCUCCCUAUGUUGUUGGUUGUUUAGAUUGUAUCUGACAUGUAUGGCCGGACCAGACUUUUCUGGUGCUUGGUUCCAAUAUAUGCAUCAGGAAAUGGUUUGGGUGAGCAGUCCAUAGUGCUACGCGUUGGGACGCAGCACGUGCCUUGCACCCAGCAUCUGCAGCACAUGCCUGGUUGGAUAUCUGAGCCGAGGGAGGAAGCACUGCUGGAUUUGGGACCGGCUCCAUACACGAGGUAGGCCUUUUCCUGACACGGCUAGUCACUGACAUGAAACGUUUUGCCGUUAGGAUGAAAAAUGUAUCAGUGAAAUGAUAAGGAAUAAAUAGGGUUGGAGUUUCACAGCUUUGCAAGGGCUUUUAACUUCUCAGCUCUCAUUACCCUCAUUAGCACAAUGAGAAUGGGCUUCCUGGCUGUCCCCACUGCUCCUUGCAACAUCUGGGCAGUGUCAAGGCAGUUGUUACUACAUUUGUGUCCGUGUGCAAGAUGCAUGCUUUAUACUGUUUACAUUCCCUGCGCUGUGUUCCCUUCUGUCACCUGAGAGUGCAUAGGAAGAAAUACGGAGUGCAUGCAUGUCUGCAUUUUUCAGUACAAAAACGUGCUGGAGUCGUGUUUGGAGAGCUGUGACCUAUUGUGGCUUCUUUUAAGUGUAACUGAAACUGUGCUGUAGUAUAACCGUACUCUAACUAUGCGCUAUAGAGAUUACUAAAAGUACUUGCUUUGGGAGGCUUUUAUAAUUAUUACCGAUGGCAAGAAGGUUUUAAAGCUCUGAAACAGGUUUUUCAUGCUAUGAUUUUCCAUAUGAUUGUUUUAAACGCCUACGGUGUUCAUGCAUGCAGCUGAGGUGUAAUAUGUUUCAGAUAUCAAUUGAUACAUUUUGCCACGUACUUUUUCUUUAAAUUAAAUUAGCAGCGCAAUGCAAAAACUGUCAGUUUUAGGUCAAGAAAUGAAAUGGAAUAUGCAAUGAUUUUGAUCUUUCGCAAAGGAAAAUGGUCUGUUGCACAAAGUAAUGUGUUGUUGGAAAAUGUGAUUAAAAUGGAGACAACAGAACUGAACCUCCAGAUAAGCAGAGUGGAAUAAUUCUACAGGGGAGGAAAUUGCAUGUUUGUUAUUCGUGACAUGGGCAUUGGCAGCAGAAACACAGCUACCGCCUGAAAUUAGAAAUGCAUCCAGAAAGUAACUGGGAGUUUCAGAAAGCAGUUUGGGAACAAACGCAGCUGCUUCUGCCAAGAGCAAAACAUGAAGGGGGGGCGUGGGGGGGGACACUAAUACCGAUUCAUCACAAGAUGUGAGAUUGUUUGUUUCAAAGACAAGUUUAAAAAAAUAGGAUUUAUUUUUUUUAAAGCUCUUUUUUUGUUCAGUGGGGGGAGGACUACAAAAGUCAACGCGUUCUUCCUGGGCUGAAGGCAUCGCUGGCUUGAUGCAUUUGAAGGGUUCAGGAGGAGGAAUCCUUGCGGGCAGUUCCUUGUUUGACACUGGGAGCCCAGGGAGCGAUGCUGGAGCAGGGCGUGCUUAGCGCCCAGGUGUCUGUCUGAUGGAACUGGUAGAGCAGAGUGCAGUUCAAGUGCAAAGCUUUUUCUCUGUGAUUGCACUGGAGGUUUGCUGUUGGAUUUUGCAGUGCUGAAUACGAUUUUUACAAAACUAGGGAAGAGUUGCAGCUUCUCUGCGUGUAAGCACAGAAAUGUUUGUCUGCAAACAUGGAUAUUUGCUUUACCAAAACGGAUUAACAAAAAAUGACAGUGUGCUAAGAUACAGGCAGUGUUUGCCUUGUGUCCAAGCACUGCGUCAGGACCUCCUUGCUGAUCCUUACAUUUAUACGCAGAGCAGCUCUGUGUUGGUGUAUGUGAUGGGAGCAGAGCUGCUCAGCAUAGCAAGGGCCCAGCUGCUGUGCUGCCCGUCCUGCUGCCUCAGUGCCUCCUUCUUCCUCUCUGCCCUCUUGCUUCAUCCAGCCAGAUGGCAGCGUAGCUGUGGGAUAUGUGUUUUCCCACCAGCUAUGGGGGGAAAAUGUAUUUAACUCAAUAAGGGUGAGGAAGAUGCAUUAUGCUCUUAAUGGAAUGUGACCAUAUUCAUAUUUUUAUUUCAAGUUCCCCACCAGUGUUAAUUAAUUAUCACGCACGAUGAGCUCAUUUAAAACGUAUCUGGAUUCACACGGAGCUGCAGUACAUCAUUGACUGGUUAAGAAGCAUUAAAAUCUCACUCUUUGGUGUAUGUGCAGACAAAUGUAGAUGUUGUAUUAGCAAGAAAGGUACUAACGGCAACAUGGAGAAUAAAAAUAGGGGAUGGUAAGGAAAACGCCGAAGUUUUACACAAUCCAUUAACUUGAUAGCUUUAGGAUCAUUAUGUUCAUUUCCUUUUGAAACAUAUUUAAUUCAAAAGGAAACUUAUGGAAGAAUAGUCUUCAGGCACUUAACAUUACUUAAUCACUCUAAAAAGAUUCGCCUUUUGGUGUAGCAGUAAAACUUUAUAGGAUGAUUGCCUAUUAAGUGCCUGUCCUAUAGGGAUAGUUAUUUCUAGUGCAAUAAGACCUCCAAGCUGUGAGGUACUAAGUGACCCUGAUGGAAUAGGAAAAAAUAAUGUUGCUUCAAUAAGUGGACUUAUGGUCUGUUGAGAGGCUCACCUCCUUACUGCUCUUGCAGUGGUAGAACAAUGUAAUUCUAUGGGCUUUCUUCUUGUUUGCAAGUGCAUGAAUUUAAUUCUUGAGCAAAUGAGUUCUCAGAGGCUGGGGGACACUCCACGAAUGACACCGAUAUGACAGAGGAUGCCAUGUGUGAAGUUGAUAUUGGGUCAAAGCAGAAUGUGUCUGACACUGGCAUUGUGUGUUUUUAAGGUGAAAGAGAACGAAUGGGCUGUGACGACACUAAAUGCAGCAGGCAAACUGAGAGAGAGUUUGACCUUUUCUCCUACGUAGUUAAAAAAACCUCUAAAGUCAACUUACCUUGAAAAUGACUGGGAUUAUGAAGCUAUGCACCCAUCCAUACUGGCAGUUUAGGAAUUUAAGUUAGACAGUGGCUGUGCUGGUGGAGAACCCAGAUGGGAUGUCCUUUGGGCAGAACAGUGGGACAGGUCAGCUUGCUUGCAGCUACCUCAGAUCCAUUUACUGAGCACUGAGGAGGGGGUUGUGAUGUUCUUCCUUGUCUUUAGAGUGUCUGAUUGGUUAGAGGAAUGCAAACGAGCGUCCAAAUCAGAUGUCCCCCUGCUCUGGGUGCCUCCAGGGCACACCUAUCGACUCUGUGCUCUGAAUGCGGGGCCUGGAGUCUGUUGCAGAGGCACUUCCAUGCUUUAUUCUUUUUGGCUCUUUCUCUAUUUUACCAUAUCGUGUUUUCAUUGAUCACUGUUCAAUUUUUUUCAUAUUUUAGACUUGGAGAGUCACUGCCACAGCAGGGCUGGGCUGCAGACAGAUAUCUCACUUUACAUCAGCAAAGAUCUCCUUGGUAAGCCGCGCUCCAGUGACCAAUUAGAAAAACCAAACAAGCAGAAUGUAUUGAAUUACAGAGUCAUAGAAUCACUGAGGUUGGAAAAAAACUCUAAGAUUAUCAGGUUCAACCAUCCACCCACCACCAACAUUGUCCACUAAACCAUGUUCCUGAGUGCCCCAUCUCCAUGGUUCUUGAACACCUCCAGGGAUGGUGACUGCACCCCCUCUCCCCCGCAGCCCAUUCCAGUGCCUGACCACUCUUUUGGAGAAGUUUUUCCUAAUAUUCAACCUGAACUUCCCCUGGUGUAACUUAAGACCAUUCCCUCUCCUGCUAUCAAAUAAGACUGCUGUGAUAGCCUCUUUCAAAGGAAAAUUUGCCUGUUAUUUGAGGAUCUUAACAAGAAGCUGCUUGUGCUCAUUUGUUUUUUCUCUCUGUAGUAGAUGUCUCACAAAACCAGCAGCCUAACUGGGGGGACUGAACUGGUCUGAGGGUACCACAAGACACUUGCUUUGCAAGAGAAAUUGUUCAAGAUUAGUAUUUUAAAAUUCUGCUGUUUGGAUGACUGGUUUAAUAGCCUAAGAAAACAAUUACAGCAGUAAAGCCACAGGCACGCUGUGGGAUGCUGCAGCAGCCAAGAUGCAGGGUGCUGUGCCAAGCACUGCGCUGGGGCUCUGCCGACUGGGCUGCGGGUGCUGCUCCGUCAGCUGCAAAAGUGGCACAGGGUGUUUGCAAAAUCACUCAUUUCACUCUGUUCAGGUGUUUGUUGAUCACUCAUAGUGAAGGUUUUAGAAACGAAGCUCAGAGCUGUUUCUAGUUGAAAUGGUUUGAAAAAGCUGUUGCUGAUUGCUGCAGGACAGGCUGUCCGGAGAACAAGCUUUGACAUCCAUGCAAAGCCCCGGCCAUUGCGUGGCAGUCACCAAUGUGCUGUGGCACAUGGUGUGGCACAAUGUGUGGCACAAUGGCAGUCACCAAUGGGCUCUGCUGGGAGGGUCAGAUUCCUGCCACCACUGGGCAGCCUUCUGGGGGUGAUUAGAAUGAAUUGGACAUUUUUAUUGGAAAUUUGGAAAUAUUUUUCAGCUCGGAAUCAAAUUACUCUCUCAGGGGACAACCUAUAAACUCCUUAAACUUCUAACAUUUUGUUUCUACAUUUCAUAAAUAUAUGCUUAUUUAUAAUUUAAGAAAACCAGCACUAGAACAAAAUAAUUCGUUCUCUUUCAACCACGCUAUUAAAUACUUUUACCUAAAUUUUGUUUGUGAGGGUAAAGUGAAUGAUUUAAUCUGAACCCCUUCAACCUCCAAAUAUUUUACCUCAGAGCAAAUAUUUCUUUACACUGAUCCUGAAGAGACUUUCCGAGACAUCUCAUCUGGAGCAUAAAGAAAUAGGCUUAAACUGUUCCAAAUAAAUCUGAAACUUUUCUUUUUAACGGGGACACCACAGAUUGCGUGCAGUGCUGUGCAGACGCAGUGUCUCAUUCAGUGGCUUUGAAGGGAUGAGCGCAUCAUCCAACAUCUUAUCCAAUCUGUUUCUCCUCAAAAAUUCUAAGUUUGGGGUGUGAAGCUUGAUGACACCAGUGACAUCUCUUACAUUUGUACAGUAAUGAUGAGGUGUUUCCUGGCUGAGAUGCCAGCUUUGAUCAUCAGUGCACUUGAGCAGCACUUUAUCUGUAGCUCAAAGCUGCUGUCCUGGGGUAAGGCUGUCACCCUGGGAUGAGACUGUCACAUCAGACCAGGCUGUGCCACAACACAGCAGUGCAGCCACGGCACGGAUGGCUCCUGCUUGCCUUUCUGCCACCCAGGCUCUGAUGGCUGGAGGGUUGUACCAGUGCUGGAUUUCCUUCUUUGGAGCAUCUGGAAGUAUUAGAUUGCUGUAUGACUCUGGAAAAUUUUACCUCUGUGCCUUCUUACUUUAUAAAAAAAAAAGAGAGAAGAAAAAGAAGGAAAUGUAUAACUUAUCCCUAUGAAAUUCUCAAACAAAGGCUUCCUUGAAAGUGCUGAGUGUUGUAUUGUUUAUACUCCUUAGCUAUAAAUUUCAUUUUUUAUUACCAGCGAUUCUGCUAUGUGUUAGGACACCUUCUGGCUAUGAAUGUGGCCUCCUCUGUGCCAAAAGAAAACAUAAAAUAGCCUGUUUCUCAAUAUAUAUGUCCUCAAGCCAUUAUUUUGCAUCUGACCUAUGGUCUGGAUAGAGUUGCUUUGGCUGCAGUGAAGAUUUCCCUCUUCUGUUUUACAGCACCUGGAGGAAAGCCAAGCACCGGGGAGAGAGAGCAGAGGAUGAGAUAGUGCUGCACAUCAGAACGGCCUUGAAACGAAUGUCGUGUAUCCUCAGCUUUGAGAACUGAAUUCCAUGGGUUGUAAUUGAAUCCUUUGUCAGACCCAUGGGGCUCAGUUCUUCAGCUUGGAUAUUUCUGUCUUCACAUACACGGGAGAUCAAAGAAGCACUUGAUCAUGCGCUGACUCUUCCGGAUUCUGAUAGCAGCAAAUAGGAAAGAGAAAGAAUAACUGAUGUGAAUCACUCUGACAGGGAGGUUUCACUGCAAAGACCAGGCUCUCUCAUGUCGAGUAGCUGCGCAGUGAUUGAGCCUCUCCGUGGCUGAUAGUCUGUCCCUGCAUUGCUGCUCGCUGGUUAAUUCAACUCUCCUCUCAGUUUUAUCGAAGUUACAUAUCAAGUGCUGAGAUGAUGCUGACUGAUUUAUGCUUCCCAAAAAUUGUGUGGUGCUGCUGAAUGUGGCUCUGCUCCCACAUGGGACCAGCAACACCCCAGCCCUGCCAAGUCUACCCACUGUUGGUCUGCUGCAGCCUCCUGUCUGGGAUCACUGCUGCACAGCUACUGUUUGCUCUUUUUUGGCCCCCUUGAGGUGGACCCAUUCAAGUUGUGGGCUGAAAAAGUUUGUGUUUCUUCCUUGGAAGAUCUGUGUUAAAGUUUAUUUUCUUUCAGGCGUCAGGAAAAUAAAAUUUAUGGUCUUCAAACACGUAAAGAGGUAUAAUUACCAACGAGAUUUCUACUUCAUUCCUGCAAUAAUAACCCUUCCUAAAUUACAUUUUUCAAACUCAGUAAAAUGGAUCAGUCACUGAUCUCAUCCCUGUGGUGCAAUGCUGUUAAAAGCACAGGAAUAUUAAAAUCCCACAGGUGCAGGAGGAGCGUGUUCAGCUAAGUAGUUUAAAGCUGCUGUGUGCCUUUUAUUCUGAAAAUGUAUUUACACUAAAAAUAAUCAGAUGUAAUCACUGUUGCCUGUGGAUACAGAUGUACCUUUGUACCGAUGUGCUUUUCAUAUAAAUUUUAUUCCAGGGUUUGAAGGGUUUCUUUGUGGCUGUCUGAAGCAUAUCAUGCUGCCCAGUUGUGAGACGACGGAUCUUGGAAGGACUCACCAGUCCCACCAGCUCCUGCUGGGAGAUAUCCAUUAAACAAGAAGAAGGAGAAACAUACACAAACGAAAGCGAAAUUCUGAAGUUUCAUUUCUGCUGUACUCCCUGUCAAGGAGAGGGAAUUAAAUUGGAGAGUCAUUCAGGUGAAUUCAGCUGUAUUUGUUGCUGCUGUAAACUUGAAACUCAAUUUUGGGCCAAGUAAAGCAUUUGCUAGAAAAUAUUACCCCUCUCUCUAUCUUUUUCUAGCUGAUUUAUGCCACAUUCUGGUGCUUAUUCACAGAUCUCAGCCUGUGCAUUUUGUUCAGGUAAAGCAAUGGGCUGAGUCUUCCUGGCACAGCUGUGGCAGAGCAGCACAACCACCCACAUUUUACAGAUAAAUAAGCUGAGUCCUGACCCUUAGAAUGGGACAACAACCCUGAGUUCCACUGAGUGCCAGCUGUAUUUCAGUUCUGGCUUUCUGCUUUUCAUUCCCAACAAAUAAAUGACAACAAGCAUCUCCUUUGGCUGCUAGCAGGAGCGUGCCCCAGAAUCCCACUGAGCCUCUCCUCCCUUGGCUGAGGGUCUAUCCCCAUUUGCUGAUCAACCACUGCUCCCCUUUGCUGCCUCCCACACCAUGAACAGCCUCUGCCUUCCUUCUUGAUACUGUGCGUGCCUUGCCUUGUGGAUGCUGGUGGGAGAGGGGUGAGUGCUGGCUGCAGACCGGUGUUUCUGCUCAGCAAACGAUCUCAGGCCCUUUCAAAAGAGUGACUGCACAUCGCACACUGCUCUGCAGAAAGCUCUGUGCUUGCUACCCUUUGGUACCCCAAGACAAGCUAGCUGCUGCCAAGUACAGCUCAUCCUUUUUUGGCUAGCAGCCCUUUUUGCUUCCAGGAAAAUGAUGAGUUUAUGUCAGGUUCAGUAAUCCUGAUGUCUGCACAGCUGAGAGAAAUAGCGCUUUAAUGUGUGCAUGACUGUGCAUGUGUAUAUAUGGAAACUACAGCUUUGACAAGCCUCUCGUCUGCCUUGGGAAGGAAACAGCAGGGCUUGAAAGCCAUGGAGUCGCAAUGCGCUGGCUAAGGUCAGCAGCUUUCAGUGACUCACAAUCUGUUUUCCUGGCAGCCCCACCAUACAGCAGGUUGUGCCCUUUUUAUCUUCUGUUUCUUUAUUUUUUUUAAAAAAGAAAGGCCUACAUAAGAAAAGCUGCUGGCUCCAGACAGCCUGGAAGUCCUCACCCUUUGACAGCAUGCAUGUUCUCAAGUACAGAAAGCUCUGCUCACUGGUAUCUCUACCAGCCUAUUUUUGCACUGGUAAGGAGAUGCCCUUUCAGUUUACAUUGGAUUGAUGUUACUCUGAAAAAUAUUUGCUAGGCUGUCUCUCUGGUAGCCAUCCUUGCUUUCCAUUUUCUGUAUGCUUGCAGCCGAGCUGGGGAGGAGCAAUGGGCACAGGCAGCUGAAAGCUGCUAGGGCACCAAGAUGCCUCCGGCUGCCAUUAAGUGUCUGGUUUCGAGCAAGAGGACAGAUUUGUUUCACUUUUUCUUCCUUUUCUUUGCUAAAAAUACAAUUGACACUGCCUCAGCAUUUACAGAUAAUACAUGGAUUGGUCAAAUAAUGUAAUUUGUUAAAAGAACCCAAAGAGAUAGAAUUUUUGACUUCCACUUCUACUAACUUUUUUCCCCCAAACUUUUUAAAACUCUCCUUACCGUCGUUUUUCUUUCUUUCAUAUUCCCAACAUUUCAUUGUCAGCUGCCUCCUAUACAUACCGGAACAAGCACAGGUAAUCAUUGGGAGAGGCAGCUACUUCAUUUCGAGACAAGAAGGAAACUUCUGAAUCAGAUUUGAAAUGAACAUAAGCUGUGCUACAGAUUUGUCUCUACAGGUACAUAUCUGCUCUGACCUGUGAACCUCCAGCUCUGCCCCACGCGUGUGCAGGCACAGCCCCAUGCUGUGCAGUACAGCCCAUACCUCCCAGGAGCAGUUCACAGACAGAUGAAGCAGGCUGUGUAAGGACAGUUGCCACUGUGACGAUCCAUGCAGGUUCACAAGAACAUAUUAAAUAGCGGCCAUUAAUCUGCUGUUUAGAAAAAAAAACAAACAGCCAUGCAUUUCUACUUCCUAUAGAUAGCAAUUCAAUUAUUAUGGGGCUUGAGUCUCCUUGCACUCCUGUGAGAAGUUUUAUUCUUUAUUUAUUCUCAUUUUAUAGACUGAGACACGGGGACAUACUUGGCUGAGGACACAGAAUGAAUCUAUCUGAAGUUUUCUAGGAAUUUUGCCAUCGUUAGUAUCACUUGUUGAAAAGCGUUAGUGUAAAGGGGGCCAUCAGUCCUCUUCACAGCCCAUCCGCCUCUGAACAGUGCAGAGAUGUCCAUUUUUUGGCUGCACUGCUGCUCAGAAAGUUGCUCUGCCUCUUCCUGCCUGUGAGAGGCUUUGCAAGAGAGCCAAACGAUGAACCCCACAGCAAGAAGGACCACCUAAACCACUCCCACUUCCAAAUCAUCCUGUUAACAUUUGACAGCUUCCUGUGUUUUUCUCAUCUCCACCUUUCUGUGUUCUCAGCAUGGGAGGGCUGUGGAUAAGGAUACCUGUGGCACACGAGGCGCUUUGGGGCACAUUGCUGCCAAUCAGCCGGGUCACAACGAGAGCCCCCAAAGCAGACCUGAGGCCACGGCUCCGGGCUUCAGCAUGGCAGGGCUUCAACAGUGGAAACUUUUAUCUUUUCCAGCAUGAAAACAAAGCUCUUCUCCUGACUGAGAUUUCAUGCAGCGCCGACAGCGUUUGCUGGGCUGCUGCCAAGUAACAAAGGGCAAUAUUUUCUUAAAUAAUAAUAAAAAAAAAAAGCAGAAAGCGUAUUAAAAGUUCCCAGCCUGUGUUUGUGAAGAUCUCGGAGCCGCUUGAUUAGGAGCUUGAAGUUGGUCGGACUCCUUCCAGCUUCCCCACUUCACCCUCCUUUCUGCACGAUGCUGCAGCUGCUCUGAUGAAAAACAG
ensembl:lncRNA